CUCUUUUUCCCCCUCUCUCUAAUAUCAUCGUCAUUAUCUCCGGCCAUAGACGAUUCUUCUUUCCUCCGUCGCUUCUAUGACUACUUCGAUUCUCAACACCGUCUCCUCCAUCCAUUCAUCCAGAGUUACCUCCGUAGACAGAGUCGGAGUUCUCUCUCUGUAAUCCUGAUUUCGUCGACUUCACUUGUCGGCGUUCUGGUUCAUCGACAUUGGUCUUCCGAUCACCGGGAUGGAGAUUUGUUGUGCGUGCGGCGGAGACUGAUACAGAUAAAGGUUUGAUUUUUAUGUUUUUCAAUUAUCAUUUUUUCCGUUGAUUUUUAAAACUGAAUUUGUCACCGGCCGGUAGUGGUUAGAGCAUUAACCAGCUUCUCGGUAUCAAAGGAGCAUCUCAAGAAACU